rnacentral:rRNA from 1 species
CCCUUAGAUGUUCUGGGCCGCACGCGCGCUACACUGAUGCAUUCAACGAGUCUACAACCUGGUCUGAUAGGGCUGGGUAAUCUUUUGAAUGUGCAUCGUGAUUGGGAUAGAUGAUUGCAAUUCUUCAUCUUCAACGAGGAAUGCCUAGUAAACGCAAGUCAUCAACUUGCAUUGAUUACGUCCCUGCCCUUUGUACACACCGCCCGUCGCACCUACCGAUUGAAUGGUCCGGUGAAGCCUCCGGAUUGGCGCGCACCUCGGUGCCGCCGAGAAGUUGGCUAAACCUUACCAUUUAGAGGAAGGUGAAGUCGUAACA